UACGUAGGGUGCGAGCGUUUAAUCGGAAUUACUGGGCGUAAAGUGUGCGCAGGCGGCCGCGCAAGUCGAGUGUGAAAGCCCCGAGCUUAACUUGGGAAUUGCGCUCGAAACUACGUGACUGGAGUGUGGCAGAGGAAGGUGGAAUUCCACGUGUAGCGGUGAAAUGCGUAGAGAUGUGGAGGAACACCAAUGGCGAAGGCAGCCUUCUGGGCCAACACUGACGCUCAUGCACGAAAGCGUGGGGAGCAAACAGG
rnacentral:rRNA from 1 species